AUGCGGAAAAAUGAAGGGGGGUUGCAGAUUUUGAAGAGGUGGGAUGUGCCAAUGGGAGUGGCAAACAGUGUCAUUGACAUCACUGGCUUGUGGGCUGAGUUUUGUUUUGACAGGAUUGGUGGAGGCAGCAGUUGUACCCUAUUUAGGAUUUAGCAUUCAGGAUUUGAGUUUGGAUGAGAAGGCUGAGUUUCUCUUGGUUGCUCAAGGUGUUACGACUGCAGCUAUACUUGGAGUUCUGUAUACUGUUGCAAGCACUUUCCAACCGCUGCCUCAAGAUAUUUACCGCUAUGAGUGGAGGGAUCCUUUCAGUCUACAAAGAGGGUGGCUUUUGUGGGCUGUGGUUGGUCUUGUUGGUGCUGUAGCUGCUGUGGCGUUGACAGGGGCAGCCACAUCCUUUUUCAGUGGGGAGCCCCCACAAAGAGAGAAGGACGCUCUAGUUAGCUUACUCCCGCUAAUUGGAUCAUCAAGUGUUAGCACUGCUUGCUUGUUAGGCAUCACUGGAGUUUUGGCUCCAAUUCUUGAGGAAACUGUGUUCCGCGGGUUUUUCAUGGUCUCCAUGACUAAGUGGGUACCUACUCCAGUUGCUGUGGUAAUUAGUGCAGCUGUAUUUGCACUUGCACAUCUCACUCCUGGAGAGUUUCCUCAGCUGUUUGUACUAGGGGCUGCUAUGGGAUUGUCGUAUGCUCAAACUCGUAACCUUUUGACCCCUAUCACAAUACAUGCUUUUUGGAACUCGGGAGUUAUAUUGCUUCUGACCUUCCUUCAGCUUCAAGGGUAUGAUAUCAAGGAAUUGUUGCAGGCAACCUGAUAGGAGUAGAUUUCUUUUGCAUAUAUGAUAGGGAGCAUUGUCAUAACGGUGAAAAAGGUUCGAUGCUUAAAGGUCUGCAAGGAUAGUAAAGUUGGUAAAAAUUUAGAAUAUAAAGGAUUUUACCUACUUUCAGCCCAAUGUUGGCACACGCAGUAAGUGCAGACGUAUGUGUGUGGAUCAUUGGCGUUGUGAAUUGAGGAUGAGUUGGUACUUCCGAUUUUUAUUUGUUCUGUACUACCACAAUGUGAAUGUAAUAGUAUCAGGGAAAUUGCUCUUAAAGUCUCUUAUUCUGUUGUAAAGUUUCCAAAAUUGUAGCUUCCACUCGAAACUGUGAACUAUGCGUCCCAUUUUUAUGAUUUUUUCUUUCAA